rnacentral:rRNA from 1 species
AUUGAACGCUGGCGGCAUGCCUUACACAUGCAAGUCGAACGGCAGCGCGGGAGCAAUCCUGGCGGCGAGUGGCGAACGGGUGAGUAAUAUAUCGGAACGUGCCCAUUAGUGGGGGAUAGCCCGGCGAAAGCCGGAUUAAUACCGCAUACGACCUGAGGGUGAAAGCGGAGGAUCGCAAGACCUCGCGCUAUUGGAGCGGCCGAUAUCAGAUUAGCUAGUUGGUGGGGUAAAGGUCUACCAAGGCAACGAUCUGUAGUUGGUCUGAGAGGACGACCAGCCACACUGGGACUGAGACACGGCCCAGACUCCUACGGGAGGCAGCAGUGGGGAAUUUUGGACAAUGGGCGCAAGCCUGAUCCAGCAAUGCCGCGUGCAGGAAGAAGGCCUUCGGGUUGUAAACUGCUUUUGUCAGGGAAGAAAUCCUUUGGGCUAAUACCUCGGAGGGAUGACGGUACCUGAAGAAUAAGCACCGGCUAACUACGUGCCAGCCGCCGCCGUAA